rnacentral:rRNA from 1 species
UGGGGAAUAUUGCACAAUGGGCGCAAGCCUGAUGCAGCCAUGCCGCGUGUGUGAAGAAGGCCUUCGGGUUGUAAAGCACUUUCAGCGAGGAGGAAGGUGGUGAACUUAAUACGUUCAUCAAUUGACGUUACUCGCAGAAGAAGCACCGGCUAACUCCGUGCCAGCAGCCGCGGUAAUACGGAGGGUGCAAGCGUUAAUCGGAAUUACUGGGCGUAAAGCGCACGCAGGCGGUUUGUUAAGUCAGAUGUGAAAUCCCCCGGGCUCAACCUGGGAACUGCAUUUGAAACUGGCAAGCUAGAGUCUCGUAGAGGGGGGUAGAAUUCCAGGUGUAGCGGUGAAAUGCGUAGAGAUCUGGAGGAAUACCGGUGGCGAAGGCGGCCCCCCUGGACGAAGACUGACGCUCAGGUGCGAAAAGCGUGGGGAGCAAACAGGAUUAGAUACCCCUGGUAGUCCACGCUGUAAAACGAUGUCGAUUUUGGAGGUUGUGCCCUUGAGGCGUGG